UCUUUAUCUUAAAAAUUUUAUUACUUAAGUAGUGUGAACAUAUUAUUAAAUGUGAUGGAAAAUUGGUUAAUUUUAAUGUUUGAAACUUAAAAGGCUUGGCGGUAUUAUAUAUCCUUCCAGAGGAGUUUGCUUAUUUAUUUGAUAAUCCUCAAUUUAUACUUACUUUUUUUUGAAUUAUUAAUAAUUAUCAGUUUGUAUAUUGCUGUCAUCAGUUUAUUUUGUAAAAAUUAUAUAAGAAACUUAAUAAUUAAUAGGUUGUUAUGUCAAGUCAAAAUGCAGCUAAUAGGAAAGGUUUAUAAAGUGAACUACAGUUUAUAAUUUUUAAUCGGAUUGAGUUAUGUAAUUGGCUCAUGAAGUUGGAUUUGGUAGUAAUAUUAUAAUAGGUGAGUUUUUAUGAAUUAGGUUUUAUAAUGCGU
rnacentral:rRNA from 1 species